ensembl:lncRNA
CGCCCAGCGGCCGUUACAACUUAGAGCGCUGUGGCAGUGGGAGGCGGGGGAGGUACGGAAAGCGGAAGUUCCUGAGAACCUGGUUGUUCCUGUGAACCGCACCUCCCAGCUUUAAUACCCUGUUACUUCUUGGGCUCCUGGACUUAGAUUCCAAGUGUAGAAAAAGGGGAACUUCCAGCACAUGUUGUGCUCUUGAGGACACAAUGGAAGUUUAGCGAAACCGGUGGCUCUACAUUGGGGACUUAGUUCCAUACCCAGAAGAAAUAAACCAGCGCAUCCUUCUUUAAUCUAACAAGAGAUCCUAUGUGAUAUCCACAGAAAAGAGGAAGUUUGGUAAAAGUCGCCUCUCUACUAUCUCCUGAAUAUUUGUGAAUCAUAACCCUGUGAGAAUAUCCAGAAGUACCUUUACUGUCAAAAACCCCACAAUGACUCUCACCACCCAUUUUAGGAAGGAGCACUUUUUGCAGCUGUUGAAACUUUCCCCCGGAAUUUAAAAACAUUUCUCUAGUAGGAGGUAAACUUAAAAUACAAAUUCCUAACAGAAAGGUCUCUAUAGUGAAAAAUUAAUUAAUUAGAACCAUUUAAUUAGAUUAACCUUGUCCAGGUCACCCACAAUGCUUAUCAAUUCCAAGUCUAAUAAGUCUCCCACUCAUUUCCAAAUGACCAUUAAAAAGAAAUAGUCUGCUCUUCCUUUCUGAUUAGUACUGGGGGGGGGGGGGGGCGUCAAACGGAAAGGGAAAACAACAUUUAUUGAGUACCAGAUAGGCGCUUCCAUGUCUCAUCUCUUAAUCCUCACAACAACCCUGUGAGGUAGGUAAUAUUGAUCCCCAUUGUCACUGAUGAGGAAAUAGGCAUGGAGAACUUAAGUACCUUUCCCACAUUCCACAGUAAGCACAUCUGCCUAGGUUCAACGUCACGCCUUCUUUCUACCAGACCUCUAGAAGGCGCUGCUUGGAGACACCUGACAACAGAGAGUCUAUAAAGUUUUUGGAUGGCAGUCGCCUCAAUACCAAGAUGUUGGCAAAACUAACUGACUGGAUUGUCUCACCCUGUUGCUUCCCCAACAUGUGAGGGAGAUUGUGUUUAGGAACAGCUUUUAAGAGCUAAGGAUAGUAUAUUGAACAUAACCAACCUGUCCCACUAACUAGAAAAUUCCUGGAAGGUGGUCACAGCCAAAGUUGUGGAGAAAGUUCUCUUCAUAUUAAAGGAAAGUUUUGUUUCCCCUAUGAGCUAUCUGUUCCUUCAGCCAGGGGAAAAUGACAACUUACUGGUUAACAGCAGCAAGAUCUCAG